CUGCAACUCGCCUGCAUGAAGUCGGAAUUGCUAGUAAUCGCGGAUCAGCAUGCCGCGGUGAAUACGUUCCCGGGCCUUGUACACACCGCCCGUCACACCAUGGGAGCCGGUAAUACCCGAAGUCAGUAGUCCAACCUCGUGAGGACGCUGCCGAAGGUAGGAUUGGCGACUGGGGUGAAGUCGUAACAAGGUACC
rnacentral:rRNA from 1 species